rnacentral:rRNA from 1 species
ACGCUCGACACCUACGGGGGCAGCAGUGGGGAAUAUUGCACAAUGGGGGAAACCCUGAUGCAGCAACGCCGCGUGAAGGAAGACGGUUUUCGGAUUGUAAACUUCUGUUCUCAGUGAAGAUAGUGACGGUAGCUAAGGAGCAAGCCACGGCUAACUACGUGCUAGCAGCCGCGGUAAUCUGAGCGGGCUGGCAAGGC